UUUCCUUUUCCUUUUCUUUUUCUAGGUAGAGGCAUUAUCAUUUUGAAAAGAGCCUGUCAGACCGGGAUCACUUGGGACUUGUGCUGUGGAGUGUUCUGGCCUCCAGCCCUGCAGCCAUCUGGUGACCCCAUCGCUGCCUCCUGGGCCCCCAGUGCUCACUCCUCAGCCCUGUGCCAGUUCCUUCUCUCAGCCUCCUGCCACUUGGCCUCAGCUCCUUGCCCUGGACCCUGGAGAAGUGGUUGCCAUGAUUCUUGGAGUGUACAUCAACUGGGCACUUAACGAGUCUACUCUGUUCAUCACCAGGAAAGCUUGCUGUCCUUUGGAAGGAAGAGUGUGCUUCAGAGCUGAGAGGACUCUCCUCCCAAACUCUCCUCCAUCUUCCUACUUAGAUUGGAGCUUGAGUGGCUGUUCUCAGGUACCAUGUCACAGCUCCCUUGGUUUUCACAGGAUGGCUGUGAACUCUCUCUCUCUCUCUCUCUCUCUCUCUCUCUCUCUCUCUCUCUCUCUCUCUGCCAUGCUUGGGCUUUACACAAAUGCUGGAGCUCCAAUGCCUACCCUCAUGCUUGUGUGCUGAACACUUUACCACUCGAGUCAUGUUCCCAACCUGAUUUUAUGUGUCUUUUUAAGAGCAAAAAUAUGUUUCUCUUAAGGUGCAGGCAAGUUUCUCACAUCUCACCGGGUAGAAGUUUAUCCCGUAUUUUUGUAGAUCAAAGAAACAGAACAAGAAGGAUGAACUGAUACAUCCCAGGAAUCUGUGGGACACCUGCCUUUCCUGGGAGUCUUGCAUCAGAAUGCAUUUGCCAAGUGCCACAUCUCAUCUUACAAGCUCUUCCUGUGAACAGACUGGCCCUCUCUCCAUCUAGGGUUGGUGUUCUCUCCUUCAGGUCUAGGUGAUUCGAGGUCACUUCUGAAAGCCCAUUAUGGCUUCCAUCUCGUUUUACUGGAUUCUUGUUCUUGGAACCCAGCUGUCAUAUUUGAAGCCCCAGAAGCUUUCAGGGGUUCUGUGUAAGACUCAGUCACAGCACGGCUGUGCCUCAGACUGACAGCUAAUGGCAGCUUGCCCACCAUGCCAGUACAUCAUCUAGGAGGUCCAUUCUUCAGCUUCCAGUCAAACUGCUCCUCAUGAUAAUGAAGAAAUAAAGAUGAUGCAUUUCUGAAUGCUGCCCA
rnacentral:lncRNA from 1 species